CGCAGGCGCAGCACGGUGGCUAGUCCCUGCUUCCCUCUCGCAUUCUCGGGGUCUCCCAGCGAACUACUCCGGUUGGAAAAUACGUGCUUCUGACCUCAGUAUGCUCCAUCACUACAGCAUGCCUAGGAUGUGAUCUCAAAGUGGUUGAACCUGGUGAGCUGGUUCAGCUUGAAAAAGUAUUAAACUCUGGGACAUCUGGAAAGCAAGAAACAAGGAUUCAGAGAGAAUUUGAAGCCACAGUUUUACACACAACCCCACCGUCACCAGAAUGUUGGUUUAUUUGAUAUGUAAUUAAAAUGAGUCUUUGGGGAAGUUCCAGUCA